rnacentral:lncRNA from 1 species
AGUACUUGAGCUCAGUUUCGUGCAUUCCUAGUCCCUUUGCCUUUCUUGCUUUUGCUGCCCGCCUUGUCAGGAGAAUGAAAGAAUCAAUAUGCGUGGAGUGCCCACCCUGUGCAAAGCAACAGCCUGUUCCCUUUAGACGAAGAAGGCAAGAAUCCAGGCCAAGGGGAUUCAACAGAGUUGGAUUGCUGAGAAUAAAAUUACGGAUUUCUCCAUAAUGGACACACGCACUUUUUGUUUGUGCUGUUUCCUUUAGAAUGGACGAUGAGUCAAAAUUGUUCGUUUAUGCUUCUUCACAGAAGGAUCUUCUGUGUCGUAGGAGGUGGCCUGCAGCAAUCUGGACAUUCAGUGGUCCUCCUGUGAUUAAUAGGUGAACGGAUGAGCUAUUCUGAUAAGAACUGGGGAACUUUUGCCAUUCAAAAGCAAAUAGAAGAACUGGGAGAUUCCUCAACUUAGCUUUUCUUUUUUUUGGUUCUAAAGUGACUGCGAAUGGAGGUAGAAGAGAAGAAAAGCUUUCAAAAACAUCUUCCAUUAAGAAAAAUAUGUAUCUUCAUGAAGACCUAUCUGAGUAAAAUUACUAAAACAUAAUGGCUUUCUUGAAAUAGAAUGGAAUGAAAGGCAUAUUAGGGAGUAUGAAAGUAUGAAGAUUUUAUUAACAUACUUCUAGAAGUUUAUUAAAUAUCUGCACAGGAACUGUAAUUUGAGAUCAGUGGUGGAAAGAGAAUAAAGGAAUCACGUGGACAUCAGCUCUGAGGCCUGUGGCCCCACUUGCUUCUGGGCUUUCUAUAGACAUUUGCUGGUGACCUGCCCAGGCAGGCUAGAGUACCCUUCCUCAUUGCACCCUGUGUUCCCAUCCUCUUUUCCUUCCUUCCUUCCUUCCUUCCUUCCUUCCUUCCUUUCUUCCUCCAUCCCUUAUGAAACCCUCGUUGUGCAGUUACUUAUUAGGUGCUGUGUGAGCGUCUGAAGUCUCCCCUCACCCACUUUUCCAUUUGGGCCACUUGGCCAGUGAUUGCAUCAGUACCAGGGUUCUAGGAGCCAUGCAGGGAUCCCCAGUGGGCAGAGCUGGCCGUAGCAUUUGGAAAGGAAGAGAGAGAACUGGAGACAAUGCCUAGGAACAAAAGCAGAGUCCAGACCCAGGCAUCAAGUGCAAAUCCAAAGGCUCUGGAUGAGUCAGUUCCCAGCAAAGGGACACAAGUAGGCACAGAAGGAAGGACAGCAGAAAACACUGGUCCAGAGAGGGCCUGCAGAGCCAGAAGCGAUGACGCAUCCAAGGUUGUGUUUGACUUCUGCACUGCCUCUGCAACCUGUAAGCACAUCUGAGCCAGUUCAGAAAGUAGGAAAACCAAAGUAUAUCAGAAAUGGCCUCUUAUCAUCAAGGAGAUUUUGGUCUAGAUUGCUUAUUGCUCAGGAGAAAUCACCACUUUUUAAAAAGAUAUGCUGAGAUAGGGUUUAGUUGGGAUAGAAAAGGUUAUUAAACUACGGGACACCCUUCCUUUACAGAGUGUAAGCACUACUACCCCUUUUGUUUGUCUGUUUUUCUUAUUUUUCUCACAGAUGCAGUUCCUGCAUUAGUAUUGAUAAAUGUGUGGCUGCUCCACUUGGAGUGUUUUCAAAGCAUAAAUCACAGCAUUGAUGGUGCUGUGGUUUGGCUCUUCCAGCCCUCUUAACAACGGUCUGAUGGACUUGGCGAGAGUCUAGCCACGUGUUCUGGCCUCUGUCACUCUCAUGGCUGAAACGCAUGCACACCCACAGAUGGGGGCCCCGUGGUAGAGAUGUGCCUCUACUUGUCAAAUAGACUGACUCCAAAUUCGGAAAUAUGCCUCAGGAAUCUAGAAAGAUAGAAAAGGAGUCUUCGUCACUGUAGGGUCUCAUUCACAAUAUGGAGGAGAGAUGGAGGGGAGUUUUUGGUAUAAAUUUUGCCUCAUAAAAAUUCUCCACGUUGUUUUGUACUGUAUGAGGGUAGCGAGAAAUUAGUUGAUGGUUAACAAUCAAGCUGGAGAAGAAUAUCCUCAAUUUUUCACAUGGAAAAUGAAAAACUACAACUCCUUCCAAAUAUAUGUAUGUUUCUUUUCUGAAGAUAGACGUGUGUGUGUUUGUGUGUAUCAUAUAACAUUUAUUUUUUGAUUUCUUUGUUAUCAACAGUAAAAAUACAGAAAAUGAUGCCAAAGAG